AUGGUCGCGUAUUUGUUUGUCCAUCUCGUCCAUAUUGUUGCCUUUCAUACCAAGAACAAUAAAAUCGACGGCAUCAGUCUUUUGUUGUUUGAGGGCUAACAAUUGUUUGAUACUCUCAUCGAUUUAUCCAUUUUGGCUUCGAGAUCCACUUGACUUGGAGACGAACGCGCACCUCUGUUUUUUUGCUUUUGCGCGAUCCCUCCCAAUAGGGUAGUUUACAUCAACCGGAUCAUCCAGAAUAUAAAAUUCUUCGUCCGAAUCAUUUAAAUUAAAAUGAGGUCAUGCAUUACGUCGGUGGACGAUAGGCUCUUCGAUCGUUCGGACCGUGGCUCCCGCAUGUCCACAAGCGGGACAAGGUUUUGUGUGCCUCGAUAAGCAAAUCUACAUCAUUGCACCGCUCGCUCGACCAACGCAUUGGUUAGCGAGGUUGUUGAAGAUGGCGUUAAAGGUGGUUACUUUUCUCCGCAUUUCUCUCCAUUUACUGGAAUUUUGAUGCGGGUUGCGAUAAGGAUCGUGUUCCAAGAUGUUGUGGAAGGUUUGACAAACACGUUUCUUAGAAUCGGUUCCGUUUUUUAUGAUCCCCUAUGAAACAUCAUGUGUUGCAAAAUACUAUCAUUUAUCCACGUUUUUAAUCU
rnacentral:lncRNA from 1 species